AAUGGCUUCUUUCUCUACUGAAAAACCUGCUUGAAACAAAGCUGUAAUGUACGGCUCGAUGUGGCGAAGCACGUGCUAUCACACAAACCUGUCAAACGCGACCAGCCAGGCUGGAAUGUGCAAGUCCGCCAAGAGCAGCUUCCAGUGGGGAGAGCCCUGAUACCUGACUAUCCCAAGUCUCACCUCUACUUGACAGUGAGGAAGGGUCGGCUGUUUCUUGGAAUGUGCCAAGAGUGGCCCUCUUCCUGGUCCCUGGAGCAGUAUAGGUGCUACCUUAUAUCAAGGACCAAACCAAGAGCUUGGGGGUGGGGCCACACCACACUUCUUUGCCUUCAAGGCUCCCUGUAAGAACAGUGUCUCUUGGCUUUCAGCUGGUAGCUCUGGGGCCUGGGAGAUACGGGAGCUACAAGGAUGGAGACGAGAAUUGCCUGCGCCGAGAGUGGAAGAGUCAGGCCUCAGGCACAGUGCUUCCGCCAUCGGUCACAGAGCAUUACAGCCCAGGCCACCGGCAACUGCAAACAGGAAACAAACACACUUGAGGCCCAGAACGAUGGGACUCAAUGUAGACUGGUCAUCAAGUACUGGCAAUAAGGGCAUUCAUUACUCUGGGACCAGAAGGAAGCCUGGUAUCUUAUAGUGUGAUUGGUGGAAAGUUCCCCAACUCAAAAGUUAGGAAUACAAAUGGUCACUGUGGGCACCCCUUUAAUCCCAGCACUUGAGAGGCAGAGGCAGGAGGAGCUCUGUGAGUUUGAGGCCAGCCUGGUUUAUAAAGCAACCCUUCAGAACAGCCGAGGCUACACAGAGCCUCAUCUCACGAAAAGAAAAACAACAAAACACAACAAAAAACACAACCAAAUUGGCAAAAUCCUUCCAAAAUCCAGAAAUCACAUAGACAGCCACAUUGCAAGGGGCAUGGAUAAAACAAGAGACUGGAGUUGGGGAGUGCUGGAUUCCUAGGACAGGCAAUUUUCUGCAUCAUAUAAUUUCAAAGAGAUGAAUCCCAGCUGGGAAAGGAGGGGCCCAGCCACACCUCAGUUAGCAAUCCACGGCAUCUGGCUCCGAAAGGAAGGAGGUAUGUUGGGGCUUGCAUGGCUGAUAGGGGGCAGACGGGCAUGCAGUGGCUUCUUCCUGGCUGCAGAACCACAGAGGAGAGGGUGGGGCUCCCAGGAGUCUCAGCUUCAGCAUACCUAGAGCAAGGGCAGUCAAGAAGGUUCCCUGGCAGUGUGCUAAAGCCAAGGAGGGCAUCAGGAAAUCACCUCCCGUCAGCAGCGGCCAGUGAGUAAAGUGUGAGCAGGCUUGAAGGGAAGGGCUGGUCCUGAAGAUCUCAGCCACAGGCGGCGCCCAUGCACCCGGACCUGGGCUAGAGACUUCCUGAGGACUGGAAGAAAACCCACCACACCCCAACCCCUGCUUGAGCUCUCUCUUCUCAGUCUGUGGGUGAGCACCUAUGUGGGCUUCAACAGGGUGGGGCUCCUGAUCUGUGUAAGGGACAGAGGCUCCACCUCCUGAGACACUCUACAGGCAGCACUUCAUCUGAUGACAGCCACGGCAACACUGUCAGCUUACUGGCGGGACUCCCACACAUUGAAGAGUGUGUACACGGGACAGUGUUGAAACUGCGGUGCUCGUGGGGGCACCUGCUAGAAUGAUUUCCAGCUUUCUUUUUAUCUGGUGUGCAUGAAUAUUUUGCCUGCAUAUAUGUGUAACAAGUAUGUGCAGGAGCCUGCAGAGUGCAUCAGAUCCCUGGAACUGGAAUCACACAUGCAGUUGUGAGCUGCCAUGCACGUACUGAGGACUAACCCUGGUCCUCUUGCAGGAGCAGCAAGUGCUCGUGACUCCUGAGUCAUCUCUCCAGGCCUCACCUUCUUAUCCUGAAGGCAGAGUCUCACACUUGUAGCCCAGGCUGGCCUGACUUAGCACUGGAAUUACUACUGAACUGAAGAAGUGGAGGGAACACAAACACGGGACGUGUUCCAGAACGAUGGAGGACAGCAGCAGUACCUUCUGAUGAGUGACCAAAGCAUAUGAGGGCCAGACUGCUUACUGAGGAGGUGAGACCAGAAACUAAAAGAAACCAUGGAAUCGAAGCGCGCAAGCGUUUAGCUUCUGUUGGCAUGCCGAGGUGCCCCCCUCUGCCCCCUCUUCUGGUCUGUGACAAAGUCAGCACCUGCAGAGCACAGACCCUACUAUCUCAGAGCGAUGAAGACCAAGAUGCAUGUCCCCUCCCACCAUAGCCAUACACUCCCAAUAACAAUGUAAAAUGAAAAAGUAGCAAAACAAACAAAAAUGCAGUUUCUAGUCUCA